rnacentral:lncRNA from 10 species
UUUUGCGUUUCAGAUGCUCCCAGGCUCUCCCGCAGUUUAAAGACUUAACUCAGCGGCUUUCAGGGCCUGUGGUUGAGGGACUCCGAAAGAACUGUUGCUGGUGGACCGGUUCAGGGUCUUGACUUCGCCACACAAAAGAACUUGAGAGCACGUCCAAAGUAAAGCUAAGACCUCUAGUACAGUGUUCAAUGGAACUGGUGAGAAAAGACGUCCUUGCUGUGUUCCUGAUAUGAAGAGGAAAGCAGUCCUUCUCCAUUAAAUGCUGACAACAUGAGCCUCCCGUGGUCGGAACGGGCUUGUGAAGGCGGUGCUGGGGUGCACCAGGGCAGCAGCUACAGAGUCUCGCUCUUUCGCCAGGUGGAGCACAGUGGCACGAUCUCGGCUCACUCCAACCUCCGUCUCCUGGGUUCAAGCGAUUCUCCUGGCUUAGCCUCCGUAGCAGCUGAUUCUACAGGCAUGUGCCACCACACCCAGCUUAUUCCCUGCCUCCACCAAAGAAGUGCAUCUCAUCGAAGAAGGAAUCAAAGGAAGCUGGUCGACGAGCUCAGCAUCGGUCCCUGGCAGUGAGCAGUGAGCCGCGUGGCACCCCUGGCAGACGUGUGUUACUGAGCAAACCAGAGACUGAGAAGCAGAGGGCGGGAAAACAGUGCCAUGUAUUUCUCAUGAGUUCUGUGAUCGCUCACAGGCUGGGCAGGAAGGGAAGUUAAAAAGGAAAAAAAAAAUGAAGGGAAGAUACGUGAAAUUGUGUGAGCAUCCAGUAGCUGCCAGGCCUCAUUUAGUGACACCGUGGAUUGAAGGACAGGUGUCCUUGUCUGCAAUGCAGAGAGGAGAGGUUUCAAGCUCAAAGGCAGUAAGCAGUUCUAAACCGUCCAGUCAGGAUGCAAACACAGCAUGUUAUGAGGAUGGGCCUUGAGUCCGGCCAAGGAACAAGGGUUAGGCUUUCAGGCGUGGGACUCCCGCUAAGGCAACCUCCGGCUCACCUUGCUCUCAUCAUCUCUCUGGUGCUAAGAGUGCCACCUGAGCUUGGACACCUGGAAGCCUUGUUCCUCAAAAGCAGGAGAGAAUGAGGGCUGGACCGUGCUGGAAUUCCUUGACCCCUCCUCCAACCCAAGGCACAGAUCAUCUUGCCAGGAAGAUUGAGGGGACUCCAUGCUAAGAAUCUGCCCUCCUGCACAUGCCAACCACAAGCAUGAAAGGUUAUUUUUUAAGACCAUUGUGAGAAAAAAAAUUGCUGCCAUCCUUGAAGGCAGCAUUUCUGCCUGUGAUUCCUUAAUGACUUCAGUCUCUGCCCUUGUUCAUUUAUUGUUGCUAUAAUUAUAAAUGCCUCCGUGGUUUGGGGAGAGUUUUCUGGAAGCAAGGAGGCAGAAAAUCUAUUUUCCUGAAAGCUUUUCUUUUUAAAUUAGGCUGUUGUUUCUUGUGUCCCUAAUGCCAACCUAAUGACAUUUCCUGAUGAGAUGACUGUGUCUGAAUUGCUGCAAUUGCUUCUCUGCAGAAGGCGUUUUCUUGGGCUGUCCUGAGUGGGUAGAGCAGGGGUCCUUUGUCUUGGCUAGGGCUCUGCUGUACAGUCACCAGUGUUGACUGAGCAGGUUCUAAAAGUUUUGUCUCUGCCUCACCUCGUGAAGGUCUCACAGAAAUUCCCUGUAAGAUAGAUACAAUUGUUCUUUUAGUUAUAUGGUAACCAGUGCGAUGUUCCAAGAGCUUUACAUACACUUUACCUCUUGCAGGUCUCAGGGAAACCCUCCAUGAGAUAGAUACUGUCAUUGUCCCCGUUUUACAGAUGAGGAAACUAAGGCACUGGGAUAUUAAAUAACAAACCCACAGGCAGACAACUUGUAGGUAGCUGAAACCAGAUUUGAAUCAGGUAUAUUCUGGUAAGCCAGCUCUCUGGAACAAAAAAAAAGGUAAAGGAAUGGACUUUUUAGCAUUUGCCAAUUUCUGUGGUGUAAAUAGUCCCGCCAUGGCUGACUGAAAGCUACCAAUGAUUUAAUAGCUGACUUGCUAAAUUCCUGAAUAUUUAACCACAUGCUCUUGCCAACCAGAGGGUGUUGGCUCAGACUCUGACUGGAUCUUAGACUCUUGGCUACUGGGUUUUGCACGUGCUUAAAAAGGGGCUUUAGGAGAGUAAAACAAACAAACAAACAAAAAACAUGCAUUUUGAUAUUCUCACAUUCAAGGUGUGGGGAUGGGGAGGCAUACCUUUGGAUGUUACUGGAAAUACUAUGCAUUUGGGGAAGUCUUCUGAAACUUACGAGAGAAAGCUAAUUCUAAUUUUAAAUUUUUAGGGAGUGAGUGGGAAGAAGUUUCUAGAAUUAGCCUAUCAUAAGAAAGUUCUGUGACUUUGCAAAGCUAGGAGAUCUCUGACUUAAAUUAUUUCCAGCUUAGCAGAUGUUCUUCUAUUUUUUCUUCUCUUUUUAUCAUCUUUGAUUUGGACCAUACCUACACUCCAGCGGUCUGUCUUCUUGGCUCCAUGAGGUCAGGGGAGUGCCCAUUUUGGAGGAGCUGGCUUACCAACAAGCCCCUUCUCUGAGAACUGGCCCAAGAACAGCCCUGCUGGAGGAGCAGCCACACUAACCACAUCCGGCCCUGGACCAGUGGGGCACUAGACACCACUACCCACUCAUCUCCAGAAUUGCAACCCAAAGAUGCAGAGACAGCAUUACCUGGUGGUGAGCUUCGGGCUUUCAUCCAUGUGAUUUGAGAUAUCAUAGUCAUGAGUGCCGUGUGUGAGCAGAGGAAGUCAGUAAAAAAAUAAAGGAGACAGUGAAUCCCAAAGAUGCAGAUAUUCUGGCUCUUGAGACACAGAAAGGGGGUCUUUGAUUCCUGGUAGAAGUUCCAGCUUCCCCCCUAACAUUCACCUGUUCUCAGGGUGCCCCUUCCAAGGAUCACCCAUGUAAGGGCAUUUGAAAGGGGCCACAUAGCCUGUAUGUAUUUUCUAGUUAAGGAGGUAGACUCCAAAGCCAUGCUAUAUCUUAGUCCAAAAGUCUGCCAGAAACUUAAAAUAGUUCAAAUUAAUGUUCAGCCAAGUUCUCCAGCAUAGCUUACUAGAAGUUAUGCAAUAAACCCAAAUAAUGCAGUGAAGAAUGGCUUCAGAUUCAAACCACAUAUGACCACAUUCCAAUGGAGGAAUUUCAACCCAAAAGAGAAGUUUAUUUUCCUUCUCAAAUAAGGAUUCCAAUGUUUAAUUUUUUUUUUCUUUUCUGGAUUGAUGCAUAAUAGGAAUCUUCAGGCAGGACAACAUAAUCUUCUGAGAAGAGGGAGCUCAUUGGCACAAUUAGUUAUAGACACAGCAGGUUGAGCCCAGGUUCAGAGUCUUUGGUGCAAGCUAAACGAGGCCUUGCAAGGAGACAGCCAGAGCUAAGAGUGUGAAAAGUGACAAGUGAGGCCAACUGUCCUCCCUGAAGCAUGAGACAGUUAAAUGGUGCAAUACUAAAACAGUCUCAGCUAAGAUAAUGGUGGUCGUUGCACAACUAUAUGAAUUUACUCAAUAUUACUUAAUUGUCCAGUGUAAAUGGGUGAAUUCUAUAAGACAUAAAUUAUCUCUCAAUAAAUGUGUUUUGAAAAGAUUCAUUAUUGGCCAGGUGCAGUGACUCAUACCUAUAAUUUCAGGGCUUUGGGGGACCAAAGUAGGAGGAUCACUUGAGCCGAGGAUAUAGCCUGGGCCACAUAGUGAGACUCCAUCUCUAC